UCUAAUAAUUUUUAGAAAGUCACGAUCCAAUAAGUUGGAUCAUAGAUUGUUUGAGAAAUUCUCUAUCGACUAACAAGGAGAUUUCAAAAAUCUCCACAAUUCUUUUAAUAUCUCUCUAAAUCUCAAUUGACUAACUCCAUUGUGAACAAUGAAAAAGCUCGAAUUUCUCACUCAAAACCUUACCUAACAGUUCAACCUCUCAUUUCUAAAACCCUAACCUCAAAAUCCCAAAAAUAAUUCUCCCUCUUAAUUUCUCAAUGCCUUCAUGUAUAUCAACCUUAUCACUUCGGCUCUCCACUGUGACGACAUCUACAUUUUCACUUAAAAAAUCCACCAUUACUGAUUUUAAUUCAACACCCCCAUUUCUUCAAGGGUUAAUUAGAAAACCCAUUCUCAGAAUCAGUUGUGUAUCAGCAAAGAGGAAAACAGGUUCAGUGAGUGAGAAAUCAGAGUCACAAGAAUUAGUUUAUCUUCUUUUGAGGAAUUUUAAUGACCAAAAACCUCUAAUUUCUACAUUGAAUAAGUAUGUUAAGAUUGUUAGAACUGAACAUUGUUUUCUUCUCUUUGAAGAACUUGGGAAGAAGGAUAAAUGGCUGCAAUGUCUUGAGGUUUUCAGGUGGAUGCAGAAGCAGCGGUGGUAUGUCGCAGAUAAUGGUGUUUAUUCAAAGUUGAUAUCUGUGAUGGGAAAGAAAGGGCAAACGAGAAUGGCAAUGUGGCUUUUCUCAGAGAUGCGUAAUAGUGGUUGCCGCCCUGACACUUCAGUCUACAAUGCACUUAUAACAGCUCACCUUCACUCCAAAGAUAAACCUAAAGCUUUGGCCAAAGCCCUUGGGUACUUUGAGAAGAUGAAGGGAAUAGAAAGAUGUAAUCCAAAUAAUGUUACAUACAACAUUCUUUUGAGAGCUUUCGCCCAAGCAUGUAAUGUCGAUCAAGUAAAUGCAUUGUUCAAAGAACUAGAAGAGGGUAUUGUUUCGCCAGACACUUAUACUUACAACGGUGUGAUGGAUGCAUAUGGGAAAAACAAGAUGAUAAGAGAAAUGGAAGAUGUCCUCUCCCGUAUGAAGAGUAAUCAAACUAAACCAGAUAUUAUUACCUUUAAUUUGCUGAUCGAUGCUUAUGGGAGACGUCAGUCGUUUGAUAAGAUGGAGCAAGUUUUCAAGAGCCUGCUACGUUCCAAGGAGAAACCUACAUUGCCUACAUUCAAUUCAAUGAUUACAAACUAUGGGAAAGCGAGACUUCGAGAGAAGGCAGAAACAAUGUAUCAAAAGAUGACUGAUAUGGGUUAUACGCCAAGCUUUGUCACGUAUGAGAGUUUGAUAACCACUUACGGAUAUUGUGAUUGUGUUUCAAGGGCUAGAGAAAUAUUCGACAGUAUGGUGGAAUCUGGGAAGGAAGUUCCAGUUUCAACUCUUAAUGCCAUGCUUGAUACCUACUGUAUGAAUGGCUUGCCCGCAGAAGCGGAUGUUCUUUUCGAUAAUGUGUGUAAUAAGGGCUUACUUCCUCAGGCUUCGACAUAUAAACUUCUUUAUAAAGCAUACACAAAAGCCAACAUAAAGGAACUUAUAGAUAAAUUGCUAAAGCGUAUGGAUAGAGAUGGUAUUGUUCCCAACAAGACGUUCUUCUUAGAAGCUCUUGGAGUAUUUGGGUCAUCUGGCUCAGGAUCUGAGUCUAAUAACAAAUCUCCUGGUGCCGUCAGUAAGCAGAUCAAGUCAAGAUCAGAGUCCAAUAGUAGAUUGCCUGGUUCUAGCAGUAAACAGAUUAAUUCAGGAUCAGAGUCCAAUAGGAGAUUGCCUGGUUACAGCAGUAAACAGAUUAAGUCAGGAUCAGAGUCUAAUAGUUGAUCAACUGGUUCUGGCAGAUUGGUGCAAAGAAACAGUUAGAAGUUGAUGGGGUUCUGGACAUAUAAUGUAAAGCACCUAUGUGUUUUAACUAUGUUGACGAUUGUAAAUCAGAUGAAGUUGACAAUUGGCAAGCUGGAAGAUGCAAACCUCAAUUUGUUCGCUGUUGGAGGUGUAAUUUCUUUGCGAUUUUUAUGUGUUCUUGUGUAGCCAUGUGAUUGUUUGAAGGUUAGGGCAGGACUUGAGAUGGCAUUGACUGACGCAGUUACGACAAGUAUUGGUACACUGCUGCUGAAAUUAUUUGGUGGUGCAUCGAACACCAUUAAAACUGAUAUAACAGUUUAGUUCUUUCCUUACAUAUUAAUGCUGCUAUAUCAUCAAAACAAGUCUUCUGUAAACAGAGAACAAAUGUUGUAUGUGCAGAUUCCAAUAGGUUCUCUAGAUGAAGCUGCCAAAUUGGCUUCAAAGUAUCGGAAACAAGGUUCAACACCUUGAAGCUUAAAGUUCAAAAGAAUCUGAAUGCAGACAUUGAAGUUGUAAAAGCCAUAAAGCUUGCUCACCCUGAGUACUCAUUUAUCUUGGAUGCUAAUGAAGAACUAGCAGAUACGGUUUGGAAAUCUUUUUGCCAAUCUGGCCAUAGAUAACAACUGAGGUUCUUUUUUGCUUUAUGUCACACCUUUGCUAACCUUAGGCUAUUUUCCCUAGCCUUAGCGGAUAAAUUCUUGUUUUUGUUUUUCUGUAGUGUUGUCUACAGUUGUUAGGAACACGACAUUUUUGGGGGAAAAUAUGGUUUAGUCCAAAAAAUCAGUCCAAAAAUAUAAUUUAGUCCAGCUCGAGUCGACUAGGUACAAAUUAGUCCAAAUAUAUGAAAAGUACACUUAUAACCUUAUCAUUUACAUUUUAGUUCAAAAUAAUUCAUGAUGAUGUCAGUAAUUUUAAAUUAUAUAAAUAUUUUAAAAACAAUUGAUCUUUCAAACCGCAGAAUAAGUUAAAUGAUGGGAUUGGGUCCUGAAGUAGCAUCCAUUCUUGAAUAUUUGUAUGCCGCAAGAACAACUGCUAAAGAACGACAGAAGAACAUGGAGAAAAGUAUUAGAGAAGAAGCUAGGUGAUUAAAAGACGAGAGUAGCGAUAGAUUCGAGGAUCGAGAGAGGGUGCGGAGAGGUCCGGUGAUUGAUGAAGAUUCAGGAAGUGGCUGGCUGAUUCAUGAGAUGUAUUGCAAGUCUGAAUGAUAGCAUAAUUCGCAUAAUGGCACUAUCAACUUCAUUGGCAGAUGCAAAAGAUCUUGGGGAGUGGAUAGGUGCAACUCCUUUGGAUCCAGGUCAAAGAGGAAGAACUGGAGCCUUUCAUUUCCAAAGUCAAAGAGCCCAUGUUGAGCUCCACUCUCCAGCAUGGUGAUCUUGAAAACAUGACGUGCUUGCCUAAUCUGAAUUCCCCGUGCAGUUUUGAUCUUGUUAACUAAUGAUAAUUACCAGGUGAAUCUUUUGAAACUCGUGCCUCAGUUGGGAACUAAAGACUAUCUAGAGGCCCAGUGCACAAAGUACCAGAUGAUCAGAGACCUAUCACUCUUAAAUUUCCCAAACCAUAUUCUGCCAUCACAAAUCCUUGAUAGGUGUUGGUUUCCUGUUCCAAGUUUUGAGGUUU